UUUUGAAGUAAAUACAUUCUAUAGUUUAACACUAUCCCAACUAGCAUACCUAAAUUCUUGGACUGCAGGUGGCUAUGAGAAGAUUAGAAUACACUGUGAGGAUACCAUAGUAUAUUCAGAAGAAAGUCCAGAUAAAUCUAUACAGUUGCUACUAUGGAAUGAUAAUUUGAUAGGUCCAAACCCGUCUCCCCACACUCCAGUAUAUUAUAAAGUUACCAAAGAUUUGUGCAAGAAGGAAGAAAAGUAUACGGAAUUAGAAGUGUCAUCAGUGACGAGUACGCGCUUACCAAUUGUAGAUUUUUACAUCAGAGACAGUAUAAAAUUUGCUAAAAUAUCUGUAGAGCUGUUGGAACUUUGUUUUAACUUUGAACUUCCACCUGAAUAAAGCUAAUUGUUCAUACGUUGUGCGAAAU